CAGCAGCCACGGUAAUACGUAGGUGGCAAGCGUUGUCCGGAAUUAUUGGGCGUAAAGGGCUCGCAGGCGGUUUCUUAAGUCUGAUGUGAAAGCCCCCGGCUCAACCGGGGAGGGUCAUUGGAAACUGGGAAACUUGAGUGCAGAAGAGGGGAGUGGAAUUCCACGUGUAGCGGUGAAAUGCGUAGAGAUGUGGAGGAACACCAGUGGCGAAGGCGACUCUCUGGUCUGUAACUGACGCUGAGGAGCGAAAGCGUGGGGAGCGAACAGGAUUAGAAACCCCGGUAGUCCCUGUCUCUUAUAC
rnacentral:rRNA from 1 species